UAUUGUGGCUUCACCAAGGAAGAUGAGACCCACGCUAUGCCAAAACCUUAAAUACCCCUAGAUUAACCAAGGGAAUGAACACGCCACGAAACACACAUCUUACCCUAGUUAUACAAAUCAAAUUCACAGGAGGCUGAAAGACUCCCUGCAUUGCCCAUAAACUAGUAGAGCAGAUACAAGCAAAACGCGAGGAAGCGUGGCACAACAAAACAUAACGAAAUAGUAAUAACAACAAUCUCAUGCAAUUUAGUUAACGCUCAAAAGCCCCUCGUGAAAUUAACUCUGAUUAAAAUUCAUUUAAUCAUCAUUUUACAUAAAGCAAUUUUAGAUCUAUAGAAUGGUAAAAUUUAACGUCGAUGAGUGUCAAAACCGAAUCAAUCUGAAAUUAUUUUAUUUGUUAAAUACAUAUUUUGGGUGAGUUAAAUAUAAAGUCGCAGUAUUUACAAAGCAAACCCAUGAGUAGUAAUUCUCUCUAGAAUAUGUCAUCCCAUUUUUUCUUCCCUCCGGGUGGCUUUUUUCUGCAAGGCUUCAUUGAAAAUAAAACCAAAAUUAGGGUAUACUGAAACUGUUUUGGUUAGAAGAUAUUCAAAUUUAACACUCGAUUAAUGAAAGCAUUAGAUCUCUGCUUGCCUAGUUGAAGCUACGUUUUAGAAGGGUUCGUGAAAAAGAAAUUUGAAAAGAAAGCAAAGACUUAUAGGCCAACGACAGUAAAAUAAAUGCAAUCAAUUGCAAAAGAAACAUACAGGCUGAAUUUAAAUUAGUUUGGUUAAUGCCAACAUGGUUGAGAAGCUUUAGGUAAAGUGCGUUAAGUAAAGCACUUCCUUUAUGUUUUUACCCAUAUUGAACUGAAUUAUGUUUGCAUCCAUAGAUUUAAAGAUGAAGUGUCUCGUUCUUUUGCUACUGCUUGGUGCAGUCUUUUUAGCGUCUACGAACGCUCGGAGAUACGAAGAAUCCAAUGACGAGAAUGCAGAUCUUGAACCAAAUGAGAACAAGGAAAUGGAUGAGUUAGAAAGCACUGCUCAGACAGAGAAAGAUCCAUCUCCUCAGCCAAUUUUCCGCCGUCGCCGUCACCUUUCAACCUCUGCAGAUCCAUCUCCUCAGCCAAAUUUCCGCCGUCGCCGUCACCUUUCAACCUCUGCAGAUCCAUCUCCUCAGCCAAAUUUCCGCCGUCGCCGUCCCCUUUCAACCUCUGCAGAUCCAUCUCCUCAGCCAAAUUUCCGCCGUCGCCGUCACCUUUCAACCUCUGCAGAUCCAUCUCCUCAGCAAAUUUCCGCCGUCGCCGUCACCUUUCACCCUCUGCAGAUCCAUCUCCUCAGCCAAAUUUCCGCCGUCGCCGUCACCUUUCAACCUCUGCAGAUCCAUUUCCUCAGCCAAAUUUCCGCCGUCGCCGUCACCUUUCAACCUCUGCAGAUCCAUCUCCUCAGCCAAAUUUCCGCCGUCGCCGUCACCGUUCAUCGUCUGCAGAUCCAUUUCCGCAGCCAAAUGUCCGCCGUCGCCGUCACCGUUCACCGUCUGCAGAUCCAUUUCCUCAGCCAAUUGUCCGCCGUCGCCGUACCUUUCACCGUUAAAAGUUCGUCCGCUAACACUUUAGACACGGCCACUGUUACUUUCCUUUCGCGCAGACUUGACAUUUUCUCUUUUUUUCCACUAUAACUUUAUAUGUCAUGCUUUAAGACAUAACCAUGCUUUUAUAUGUCUUAUGUAUUAUUAAUUUGUAUUCUUACUUUAUGAAUAUAUAUCAAUCUUGGAAA